GUAUGGGGAUCUGCCCGAUAGAGGGGGAUAACUACUGGAAACGAUGGCUAAUACCGCAUAAUGUCUACGGACCAAAGCAGGGGCUCUUCGGACCUUGCACUAUCGGAUGAACCCAUAUGGGAUUAGCUAGUAGGUGGGGUAAAGGCUCACCUAGGCGACGAUCUCUAGCUGGUCUGAGAGGAUGAUCAGCCACACUGGGACUGAGACACGGCCCAG
rnacentral:rRNA from 1 species